UACGUAUGGUGCAAGCGUUAUCCGGAUUUACUGGGUGUAAAGGGAGCGCAGGCGGCACGGCAAGCCUGAUGUGAAAGCCCGCGGCCCAACCGCGGGACUGCAUUGGGAACUACCGGGCUGGAGUGCCGGAGAGGUAGGCGGAAUUCCUAGUGUAGCGGUGAAAUGCGUAGAUAUUAGGAGGAACACCAGUGGCGAAGGCGGCCUACUGGACGGUGACUGACGCUGAGGCUCGAAAGCGUAGGGAGCAAACAGG
rnacentral:rRNA from 1 species